UGUAGCAUUGUCUUAAUAAUCUCAAAUUCGAGCAACAACACAGGAUGCUUGGUUCUGCUUGGAUUAAUGUUGGUUUGUUGGCUUCAGACUCACCUCUCUUUCUUUUGUAAGAUGCAUCAAUGGUUUCCCCCUUGACCAGUUUUGACGGGAUCCCCUUAACCAUCAAUGCCUCCUUUUCGAAACAACAAUUUUAAUUUAGUACAAGAUUCUAUGGCCUAAUUAGAACUUUCCCCAACUAAUUAAGACGAACGAAUCUACACUAAAAAGACAGAAUCAAGAGAGUUGGACUUCAGCUCACCGGAUCUCUGCGCGCGGCGCCGGCGUCGCCUGCCCGGCCGCGACGAGACGAGCCCAGGAGCCAUGACCAGCCUCUAGCCUCCCAGCUCUUUCCG
rnacentral:lncRNA from 1 species